UGGAAGUUGCUCCAACAUGACAGUGUUC
rnacentral:piRNA from 1 species